rnacentral:pre_miRNA from 15 species
GGGUGCACCAUGAGAAGCUGAAGCUGCCAGCAUGAUCUGAGAAUUCCUCCAUCCUCUCUAUCUUCUGGAUCUUGGAUGAAGUCAUGCAGAUCAUGUUGCAGCUUCAUCUACUGGUGGGAGCACCA